rnacentral:rRNA from 1 species
UAACUACGUGCCAGCUGACCGCGGUAAUACGUUGGGUGCGAGCGUUAAUCGGAAUUACUGGGCGUAAAGCGUGCGCAGGCGGUUUUGUAAGUCNGAUGUGAAAUCCCCGAGCUCAACUUGGGAACUGCGUUUGAAACUACAAGACUAGAAUAUGUCAGAGGGGGGUAGAAUUCCACGUGUAGCAGUGAAAUGCGUAGAGAUGUGGAGGAAUACCAAUGGCGAAGGCAGCCCCCUGGGAUAAUAUUGACGCUCAUGCACGAAAGCGUGGGGAGCAAACAGGAUUAGAUACCCUGGUAGUCCACGCCCUAAACGAUGUCUACUAGUUGUUGGUGGAGUAAAAUCCNUGAGUAACGCAGCUAACGCGUGAAGUAGACCGCCUGGGGAGUACGGUCGCAAGAUUAAAACUCAAAGGAAUUGACGG